rnacentral:rRNA from 1 species
AUUGAACGCUGGCGGCAGGCCUAACACAUGCAAGUCGAACGAGUGGCGGACGGGUGAGUAAUGUCUGGGAAACUGCCUGAUGGAGGGGGAUAACUACUGGAAACGGUAGCUAAUACCGCAUACCAUCGGAUGUGCCCAGAUGGGAUUAGCUAGUCGGUGGGGUAACGGCUCACCUAGGCGACGAUCCCUAGCUGGUCUGAGAGGAUGACCAGCCACACUGGGACUGAGACACGGUCAAGACUCCUACGGGAGGCAGCAGUGGGGAAUAUUGCGCAAUGGGCGCAAGCCUGAUGGAGCAAUGCCGCGUGAGUGAAGAAGGCCUUCGGGUUGUAAAGUACUUUCAGUGGGGAGGCGUUACCCGCAGAAGAAGCAACGGCUAACUCCGUGCCAGCAGCCGCGGUAAUUC